GCGUCGUUGGUUCAGUGGUAGAAUGCUCGCCUGCCAACAAAUUGUGGAUAUUAUCUAUAGAUAAUAAUACCCGGAAGUACGCGGGCGGCCCGGGUUCGAUUCCCGGACG
rnacentral:tRNA from 1 species